rnacentral:lncRNA from 1 species
AAGGAAACUUACUGUUUAACUAACUAACAAGGUUUUACUGUAGCAUUUUUACAUUCUUUUACAUGACCAUUUUUAUAGUGUAUAAACUUCGUAAAAAAUCCCUCUAAUCAUCAACACCCAUCCCUCAGAAACUAUAUGUGAUUAUAUGAAAUGAGAUCCAGUUUGAAAGUGAAGUUCUCACUGCUGUUCCCUGUCACUAUGAGCUCUGACUAAUGUUUUCCCCAAGUUUGUCAUUUGGUAAUUACACACAUGAAUGACGGCUGAUCUGAUAGUCCUUCAGAUCUGUUUUCCAUCCCCAAAAUAACACGAUGAUGCAUUCUCACUCUCUCCACAUGCUGAAUUAUGUCAGGCUGUGAUAGUGUACACAGAUGGCCAGGGGAGCACGAUAUUCAGAUCACAGUGACACACAAACACAGAGUAACAUUGAUAUCUAAGACUGCAAUGGAUUUAUAUAUUACUUAAUGUGCUUUGAGGAGCUCUGAAAGAAAUCAUAUUAGUGGCCAUAUCUCUGAAUCAUAGCAUAGUCAGAUCUUCAAACAGCUUUAUUUGUAUUCACACAGUGCUUGAGAUACUUCAGAAAUCCACUCAAAACACCACGUCAUCCGCUCGGCUGCACUUAUGCCGUUCAGAAGCACCUUCACAGUGUUUUGCCGUGAGAUCUUUUUGGAGAUCUUUAGAGUCACCCACACAGACAGCACUGCAACUACAAUAUGGCAUGUUUAUGUGCUAAACUCCUCCCUCUGUGGCUGUUUAUGACGCAAGGUGUGCGUAGAAGGCUGCCUGUGAUCAGCCAGCAGACAUACAUCCUCUCCUCCUCUCCCAUUCUCAUUCAUACUCUCGCUGCCUAACAGUCACUAUGAGCGCAGGAGGAAUCGCAGUUUGCUCUGGCAGCCUGCUGCACUCUUUAGCAGUUAGGACAAAUGGGUUUGUGCAGCAAGUUCGUAAAGCUAACGGAACAGCAGGUAGUCAGCUGUCGACCCCACGGUCAGGCAAAUCCCCCAGUCCAUCUCCC